rnacentral:rRNA from 1 species
AGUGAACGCUGGCGGUAGGCCUAACGCAUGCAAGUCGAACGGCAGCACAGUAAGAGCUUGCUCUUACGGGUGGCGAGUGGCGGACGGGUGAGGAAUACAUCGGAAUCUACUUUUUCGUGGGGGAUAACGUAGGGAAACUUACGCUAAUACCGCAUACGACCUACGGGUGAAAGCAGGGGAUCUUCGGACCUUGCGCGAUUGAAUGGGCCGAUGUCGGAUUAGCUAGUUGGCGGGGUAAAGGCCCACCAAGGCGACGAUCCGUAGCUGGUCUGAGAGGAUGAUCAGCCACACUGGAACUGAGACACGGUCCAGACUCCUACGGGAGGCAGCAGUGGGGAAUAUUGGACAAUGGGCGCAAGCCUGAUCCAGCCAUACCGCGUGGGUGAAGAAGGCCUUCGGGUUGUAAAGCCCUUUUGUUGGGAAAGAAAAGCAGCAGGUUAAUACCCCGCUGUUCUGACGGUACCUAAAGAAUAAGCACCGGCUAACUUCGUG